rnacentral:rRNA from 1 species
GACGUAGGGUGCAAGCGUUGUCCGGAAUUAUUGGGCGUAAAGAGCUCGUAGGCGGUUUGUCGCGUCUGCUGUGAAAAUCCAGGGCUUAACCCUGGACCUGCAGUGGGUACGGGCAGACUGGAGUGCGGUAGGGGAGAUCGGAAUUCCUGGUGUAGCGGUGAAAUGCGCAGAUAUCAGGAGGAACACCGGUGGCGAAGGCGGAUCUCUGGGCCGUAACUGACGCUGAGGAGCGAAAGCGUGGGGAGCGAACAGG